GCGAAGUUCGCACAUCGGUAGUGCAUCGGCUUCCCAAGCCGAGGAGGCGGGUUCGACUCCCGUACUUCGCU
rnacentral:tRNA from 2 species